ACUACAUGUACAGGAUAGGUGGGAGGCUUUGAAACCAGGACGCCAGUUUUGGCGGAGCCAUCCUUGGGAUACCACCCUUGUAGUACUGGGACUCUAACCAUAGGCCAUGAAUCUGGUCUUGGGACACUGUCAGGUGGGCAGUUUGACUGGGGCGGUCGCCUCCCAAAAGGUAACGGAGGCGCUCAAAGGUUCUCUCAGUACGGUCGGAAAUCGUACGUAGAG
rnacentral:rRNA from 1 species